GGGCGAUUAGCUCAGUUGGUUAGAGCGCCUCGUUUACACCGAGGAAGUCGGGGGUUCGAGUCCCUCAUCGCCCAC
rnacentral:tRNA from 1 species